AUAGCUAAUACCGCAUAACAAUGGAUGACACAUGUCAUUUAUUUGAAAGGGGCAAUUGCUCCACUACAAGAUGGACCUGCGUUGUAUUAGCUAGUAGGUGAGGUAAUGGCUCACCUAGGCGACGAUACAUAGCCGACCUGAGAGGGUGAUCGGCCACCACUGGGACUGAGACACGGCCCAGACUCCUACGGGAGGCAGCAUG
rnacentral:rRNA from 1 species